rnacentral:rRNA from 1 species
UAGGGAAUCUUCGGCAAUGGACGAAAGUCUGACCGAGCAACGCCGCGUGAGUGAAGAAGGUUUUCGGAUCGUAAAACUCUGUUGUUAGAGAAGAACAAGGACGUUAGUAACUGAACGUCCCCUGACGGUAUCUAACCAGAAAGCCACGGCUAACUACGUGCCAGCAGCCGCGGUAAUACGUAGGUGGCAAGCGUUGUCCGGAUUUAUUGGGCGUAAAGCGAGCGCAGGCGGUUUCUUAAGUCUGAUGUGAAAGCCCCCGGCUCAACCGGGGAGGGUCAUUAGAAACUGGGAGCCUUGGGUGCAGAAGAGGAGGGUGGUAUUCCAUGUGUGGCGAUAAAAUGCGUAAAUAUAUGGAGGAACACCAGUGGCGAAGGCGGCUCUCUGGUCUGUAACUGACGCUGAGGCACGAAAGCGUGGGGAGCAAACAGG